rnacentral:rRNA from 1 species
UACGUAGGGUGCGAGCGUUGUCCGGAAUUAUUGGGCGUAAAGAGCUCGUAGGCGGUUUGUUGCGUCGGCUGUGAAACCUGCGGCUUAACUGUGGGCUUGCAGUCGAUACGGGCUAGCUAGAGUGUGGUAGGGGAGAUCGGAAUUCCUGGUGUAGCGGUGAAUGCGCAGAUAUCAGGAGGAACACCGGUGGCGAAGGCGGAUCUCUGGGCCAUUGACUGACGCUGAGGAGCGAAAGCGUGGGGAGCGAACAGG